rnacentral:rRNA from 1 species
UACGGGGGGGGCAAGCGUUGUUCGGAAUUACUGGGCGUAAAGGGCUCGUAGGCGGCCAACUAAGUCGGACGUGAAAUCCCUCGGCUUAACCGGGGAACUGCGUCCGAUACUGGAUGGCUUGAGUGUGGGAGAGGGAUGCGGAAUUCCAGGUGUAGCGGUGAAAUGCGUAGAUAUCGGGAGGAACACCGGUGGCGAAGGCGGUUCUCUGGGCCUUACCUGACGCUGAGGAGCGAAAGCGUGGGGAGCGAACAGG